AGAACUGAUAAUCCGAGGAGUGGAAUGAAGGGGUAACGCCCUGAAACGCUCCCGCUAAUCCUCUGACUGGCAUCAUUUCUGGUGUCAGAAGCUCGGUGAAGUCGGCAGAGAGCAACCGAAGUAUGGAUAAACCAUAACCGAAAGCGGCCCAGAGGUGGGCUGUGUUGCCUAUAUGCCGGGCGUCGAUA
rnacentral:ncRNA from 1 species